rnacentral:piRNA from 1 species
UGAAAGUACCACAUGCCAUUGCUGUCAAG